ensembl:lncRNA
GGCGCGCGCCGCCGUGAGGGCGCCGCGGCGGCUUCCGGUUCCGCCGGGCGCGGCGGCCGCGGCGCUUCCCGGGCAUGCUGCAUGGUGUCCUGUGGUGCUUCCUGUGGGAUAGAGGAAUGAAGGGAAGGGGCAGAGACAAUGAGUUUAAGGCAUUCACGGAGCAGCAGUGCAGACUCUCGCAUAACAAGGGUCAAAGUAACAUCCAGUCAGGCUUUGCAUGGCAUGAGGCAGAAACAGGAUUUUCUAGCAUGCUGUGAAAUCUGAUCUCUGGAACUCUCAGUGAAGACAUCUACUUGAUACUUGCAAUGUAAAUUAGCCUGUAUUCUAGUAUCUUUGGAUGUUCACUUUAUCUUUGAUCAGUAUGUUCUCCAUUUGCUGCCCUGAUACACCCAAGGGAGCCCUACAAACUGACAUCAGGAACCUGGACUGCUGAGUUUUCUUUCCCAGGGAAAAUGGAAAAAGGAUG